GUGAUGCAGUUGCACACUAUUGCAAUCUCACCUGUGCUGUGCUACAUUUUUACGUUUUUAGUCAUUUAGCCGACGCUCUUAUCCAGAGCGACUUAAAGUUAGUCAAUUCAUCUUACGAUAGCUAGGUGGGACAACCACAUAUCAAAGGCAUUAGUCUGUAGCAGUUUGGGUCGGGAGUGUCUCCCCCUUUGAAGAGGGGGAUGAUCGCGGCAGCUUUCCAAUCUUUGGGAAUCUCAACAGUGAUGGAAAGCUCAGGAGGAGGUACCAGGUGAUGACCCCAACUACCUGCCUGUGGAGGUUGGAGACUGUAAAAAUCCGGGUCCACAAAAGAAAAUAUAACCAGCCAAGGUCAAUGGGGCCAUUCAAGGUAACCAUGGCAACACAAACGGCGGUCAGAGUUCAGGAAAGGUCCGGCUGGCACCACCUGUUCCACUGCCAGAAGGUGUUCAGCCCACAGGAGAUGAUGGAGCCAGAUACAGCCUGAAAUAAGAGGAAGAAGCAAAUGUGAGUCGAGACCAAAUACUUGAAAAAGAUGAAGGGCAAGACCAAAGCCCUGAAGAACCAACUGUUUUAAAUGUUGUAAAUAACCAAACCCUUAGGGGGAAUAAGAGAGGGAAGAUGACCGCAUGUGGUCAUUGGUAGUUGACUGUUUUGGCUCUAUCCACACUACUUGUUUGUGGGGGUGAAGCCGGCCCUGUCAACACGUGGGUAAAGUUUGUUUGAGACUUAGGUAGAAAUGUGUCCCCAAACGGGACUGCAGUGUUAAUUUUGUCUAAACCCAAAUCCAUGAGAGAGUUGUUUGGUUAAAUGAGUGAUUAAUAUGAUGCCAUUGGUGUUGACCCCAACUAUGACCCUCUUGCUUGCCCAACUGACCCAGAGGAUGAUUACUAUACUACCUAUAUGUGAAUGGUUAAAAGUUCCAGAUGUCUAAUGUCGAUUUCUGUACAUGGUUAUAUGAGACUAGGUAGUCUCAAAGGGGGGAAUGUUGGGGUUUACCCUGUGGGUUGGGUGAGGGGCUACACCAAUGCCAUGAUUACUGUAUAUAUGUGAUAACAUUUGUAUGCUUGCAAUGCGCAAUGAUGGAAAAGUACUGGGUAAAUGGAGAUGUACUGCUUUAGUUCUCAGGCUGAGAAUUGUCUACACCUGCUGAUAGUCACACAGGCUAAAGGCCGAGAUAGCAGAGUGAGAAACCACAGUCUAAACAUGUUUUUCUCAUCUUAGUUACUUUGUAUCUAAUCCAAUGUAACAACGUUAAGGUAUGAUUGACGGUAGGUUGUCCACGCCCACUAGUAUAUGGAGCUUUGUCUCCUGUCUCGCCUCACAGAUCUUUACUAUAAACUACUGAGGUAUUCUGUAUGUGAAUCUCUGUCUGCAAUUACAUUUUAUUAUGAAAGAGUUGUAUACCAAGGUUCCCGUGUCUGUGUCAUCUAUCUGGAAGACUGAUUGUUAAAGGAAACUUACAUCACCCCAUGCAAAGGACCAACCAACAGCGCUUCAGCACUCGGCUGUCCCGUUCUGUGAGCCUGUGUGGCCUACCACUUAGCGUCUGAGCCGUUGUUGCUCCUAGAUGUUCUACUUCACAAUAACAGCACUUACAUUUGACCGGGGCAGCUCUAGCAGUGCAGAAUCCUAUGACAGCGCCACUUUGAAAGUCACUGAGCUCUUCAGUGAGGCCACUCUACUGCUAAUCUAUGGGGAUUGCAUGGCUGUGUGCUCCAUUUUAUACACCUGUCAAAAACGGGUGUGGCUGAAAUAGCCGAAUCCAGUCAUUUGAAGGGGUGUACACAUGCCUUUGUAUAUAUAGUGUUGCUACUGAAGUAACAUGACUGAACAAGGUGUAGCUAAACAAAUGGUUAACGGUCUGGUCUGCAAGUAGCCUAGUUUUAGAACUCCCCGCGAUAUGCCUUAUGAAUGUAAAAUGCAGCCCGCCAAUGCACAAUAGGGUAAUGUCUUUUGAACUAGAAUCAAUACGUUUUCUCUAAGGUGAAGAGGGAGACUUGGCUAUGCUGGAUACAGAACCUGUAUAUGAAAUGCAGUGGGAAAAGUGGGAGGUUUGAGUGAGACUACAAACUACUUUUCUAUAGCCUACUCAGGGGAGAGAAAAACAUAGCUAGACUGUUGGUUUACUAUUAAACUCAAUGCUACUGUUGUUUUUAAUUGUGUAAAGCAUCAACUUGUGUUUCUUAACCAGGCAAACGGUAGCUAACUAGAAGGCUGGUGGUGACUAUGGCUAUUUUCCACUACAGGCUGUUCCGUGCAGUGAAUAUCAUAGUUCCUAUUUCAUUCCCACUUGCCCAUGGCCUUAUCCGGUUCAGUAGGCUGGUGGGUGGGGUUACAAAUGGCCGUACUCAAUGAUUGGUCUCAUGCAAAGAUAUCAGUCUCGCUCGCGUAUGUUGGUCAUACUCAUGCAGGAGUCACAAGUCAUUUGAUCAAUUUAGGGGUUUAGGGCCCCAUAAUAAUUAUGACUUUGCGGAUGUGUUAACUAACUUUGUGGCUGUGUUAA